AUCUACCUCACAUCUAUCUUAGAAUCACCAUGCAUGUUUUAGGAUUGUGUGAGGAAGCUCA
ensembl:miRNA